rnacentral:rRNA from 1 species
UGUCUAGGGGCUCAAACCUAAAGAACCUAAAUAUCUAAACGGAGAAAUUCAAUACUAUCGUCAAACAUAGUGUGCACUUUUCUCUUAGUAAGACGCCGUGAUCCAUUAGAAAUUGAUGCAUACAAAAUGUAUAUUGGGUCAUCAAUAGACCAGCAUGAAGUUUAUCGGAACAAAUGGCAUGAUCUUUCACGGUCGUGUGUAUUGUCUGGUAAGCAUGUUGUGUUACUGUAAUGACUGUCUGAUGGAUUUUAAAGAUCACUAUCAAUGAUGUUAAGGCAUCACUCGUUUCGCGAUGAGAAUUCGAUAUGUGUGUCUGAUCAACGGCGGUUAAAUUUGGGAUACCUUUUGGACCCGUCUUGAAACACGGACCAAGGAGUCUAUCUAGUAUGCGAGUAAAUGGAUAGUUUAUGAAAUCUAUUUGCGUAAUAAACUUGACUGUUUUUUAUGGGAUUACGAGAUUAGCUUUUAACGACUAGUCUCUUCCAUCUCGGGGUAUUUUUAUCAACAUAUGCUUGCAUAUGGAAAAUAUACCAUGAGCACACUGGAUACGACCCGAAAGAUGGUGAACUAUGCCUGAUCAGGUCGAAGUCAGGGGAAACCCUGAUGGAGGACCGAAGCAGUUCUGACGUGCAAAUCGAUUGUCAGAAUUGGGCAUAGGGGCGAAAGACCAAUCGAACCAUC